rnacentral:rRNA from 1 species
UACGUAGGGUGCGAGCGUUGUCCGGAAUUAUUGGGCGUAAAGGGCUCGUAGGCGGUUUGUCGCGUCGGGAGUGAAAAUCCAGGGCUUAACUCUGGACUGGCUUCCGAUACGGGCAGACUAGAGGUAUGCAGGGGAGAACGGAAUUCCUGGUGUAGCGGUGAAAUGCGCAGAUAUCAGGAGGAACCCCGGUGGCGGAGGCGGUUCUCUGGGCAUUACCUGACGCUGAGGAGCGAGAGUGUGGGGAGCGAACAGG